rnacentral:rRNA from 1 species
AACGAACGCUGGCGGCAUGCCUAACACAUGCAAGUCGAACGAGACCUUCGGGUCUAGUGGCGCACGGGUGCGUAACGCGUGGGAACCUGCCCUUAGGUUCGGAAUAACUCCCCGAAAGGGGUGCUAAUACCGGAUAAUGUCUUCGGACCAAAGAUUUAUCGCCUUUGGAUGGGCCCGCGUUGGAUUAGCUAGUUGGUAGGGUAAAAGCCUACCAAGGCGACGAUCCAUAGCUGGUCUGAGAGGAUGAUCAGCCACACUGGGACUGAGACACGGCCCAGACUCCUACGGGAGGCAGCAGUGGGGAAUAUUGGACAAUGGGCGAAAGCCUGAUCCAGCAAUGCCGCGUGAGUGAUGAAAGCCUUAGGGUUGUAAAGCUCUUUUACCCGGGAUGAUAAUGACAGUACCGGGAGAAUAAGCUCCGGCUAACUCCGUG